CCUACGGGUGGCAGCAGUGGGGAAUAUUGCACAAUGGGGGAAACCCUGAUGCAGCAACGCCGCGUGAGUGAUGACGGCCUUCGGGUUGUAAAGCUCUGUCUUCAGGGACGAAAAUGUCUGUACCUGAGGAUGAAGCCACUGCUAAUGACGUGCCAGCAGCCGCCGUAAUACGUAGGUGGCGAGCGUUGUCCGGUUUGAGUGGGGGUAAAGGGAGCGUAGGCGGACUUGUAAGUGGGAGGUGAAAUACUCGGGCUCAACCUGAGUGCUGCAUUUCAAACUGGAAGUCUAGAGUGCAGGAGAGGAGAAUGGAAUUCCUAGUGUAGCGGUGAAAUGCGUAGAGAUUAGGAAGAACACCAGUGGCGAAGGCGAUUCUCUGGACUGUAACUGACGCUGAGGCUCGAAAGCGUGGGGAGCAAACAGGAUUAGAUACCCGAGUAGUC
rnacentral:rRNA from 1 species